rnacentral:rRNA from 1 species
UACGUAGGGCGCAAGCGUUGUCCGGAAUUAUUGGGCGUAAAGAGCUCGUAGGCGGUUUGUCGCGUCUGCCGUGAAAGCCCGGGGCUUAACUGUGGGUCUGCGGUGGAUACGGGCAGGCUGGAGGCUGGUAGGGGCAAGCGGAACUCCUGGUGUAGCGGUGAAAUGCGCAGAUAUCAGGAGGAACACCGGUGGCGAAGGCGGCUUGCUGGGCCAGUUCUGACGCUGAGGAGCGAAAGCGUGGGGAGCGAACAGG